rnacentral:rRNA from 1 species
UCGGGAAUUUUGGGCAAUGGGGGAAACCCUGACCCAGCAACGCCGCGUGAAGGAUGAAGUAUUUCGGUAUGUAAACUUCGAAAGAAUAGGAAGAAUAAAUGACGGUACUAUUUAUAAGGUCCGGCUAACUACGUGCCAGCAGCCGCGGUAAUACGUAGGGACCAAGCGUUGUUCGGAUUUACUGGGCGUAAAGGGCGCGUAGGCGGCAUGACAAGUCACUUGUGAAAUCUCUGGGCUUAACCCAGAACGGCCAAGUGAUACUGUCGCGCUAGAGUGCAGAAGGGGCAAUCGGAAUUCUUGGUGUAGCGGUGAAAUGCGUAGAUAUCAAGAGGAACACCUGAGGUGAAGACGGGUUGCUGGGCUGACACUGACGCUGAGGCGCGAAAGCCAGGGGAGCAAACGGGAUUAGAUACCCGAGUAGUCCCUGAGCGGGCUGGCAAGGCGCAU